rnacentral:rRNA from 1 species
AUGUCUUCCUCCUACGGCGCUUCCUUCCCGGCUAGUCUCAAUGGCCAGGUCACCGAGAAGCUAUCCUGCACGAACUACGUGCUGUGGCGCACGCAGAUCAUACCCCAACUGCGUGGCGCCGGGGUCUUCGGCUACGUCGACGGCACCCAGCCGGAGCCGGCAAAUCUCCUCGUCACCACCAAGGAAGGCAAGGAGACUUCAACGCCCAACCCUCUCCACCCAAUCUGGGUCAGGGAGGACCAGCAGGUCCUUGGCUACCUGCUGGGCAACCUCACAAAGGAGGUGCUCCUCACGGUGACCACGGUCACCAUUGCGAGCGCGCUUUGGACGACGCUCGUCGGCAUGCACUUGUCGCAAUCGGCGAGUCGCAUCAACAACAUCCGCACUUCUCUCAUCAAUGCGCAGAAGGGCAACCUCUCCGUCGCCUCCUACUUCGCCACCAUGCGUGUCUACGCCAACGAGCUGGCCGCGGCGGGCAAGGCGAUCCUCGACGAUGAGCUUAUAUCCUACAUCAUCCACAGGCUCGAUGCUGGCUACCAGCCUCUGAUCUCUGCUCUGGAUGAUCGUGUAACCCCCCUCACCAUCGACGAGUUGUUCGCCAUGCUCUCCAACUUUGAUCAGCGGAUGGUGCACUUCCACGGGUCCAGCGGCGGCGGCUUCAAGUCCUCUGCGAACUCGGCCUCUCGCGGUCGUGGCGGCUCCUCUCGGCGCGGCGGCUUCUCCCGGGGCAGGGGGAGGUCCAGUGGAGGCGGAAACGGUGGCGGCUCCAAUUCCCGCAAUGGCGGGCGUGCUCCCUCCAACAACAGAACUCAUCGCGGUGGCGGCAAUCCUCGCGCACGACCUGAUGCUCCUCGCUGCCAGAUAUGUAGCAAGUUGGGGCACACAGCAAAAUAUUGUUGGUACCGCUAUGAAGAGGACGACGAUUCCUCUCAAGAAGAUGACAAGGUGGCGGCGGCUGCAGAUGGCUCCUACGGAAUCGACACCAACUGGUACGUCGACAGUGGUGCCACCAACCACAUCACCAACGAGCUCGAGAAGGUGAACAUGAAGGAGAAAUACUGCGGCAAGGACCAAAUCCACACAACUAGUGGUGAAGGUAUGGGAGAUCCGUCACAUUGGUAA